UACGAAGGGGGCUAGCGUUGUUCGGAAUCACUGGGCGUAAAGCGCACGUAGGCGGUUUUGUAAGUUAGAGGUGAAAGCCCGGAGCUCAACUUCGGAAUUGCCUUUAAGACUGCAUCACUUGAACGUCGGAGAGGUGAGUGGAAUUCCGAGUGUGGAGGUGAAAUUCGUAGAUAUUCGGAAGAACACCAGUGGCGAAGGCGGCUCACUGGACGACUGUUGACGCUGAGGUGCGAAAGCGUGGGGAGCAAACAGG
rnacentral:rRNA from 1 species